UACGUAGGAGGCGAGCGUUGUCCGGAAUUACUGGGUGUAAAGCGCGUGUAGGCGGCCUGUCAAGUCUGCUGUGAAAGCGCCUGGCUUAACCGGGCGAGGUCGGUGGAAACUGGCGGGCUGGAGGACGGUAGAGGGGGGUGGAAUUCCCGGUGUAGUGGUGAAAUGCGUAGAGAUGUGGAGGAACACCAGUGGCGAAGGCGGCUUUCUGGUCUGUAACUGACGCUGAGGCGCGAAAGCGUGGGGAGCAAACAGG
rnacentral:rRNA from 1 species